CUUUAGUAAGUAUUUUUGUACAUUUGCCUUCCAAGCAAAAAGACUAGCAAAGUUAGCCUAAAGA
rnacentral:tRNA from 1 species